rnacentral:rRNA from 1 species
UGGCGAACGGGUGAGUAACGCGUGAGGAACCUGCCUCAAAGAGGGGGACAACAGUUGGAAACGACUGCUAAUACCGCAUAAGCCCACGGGUCGGCAUCGACCUGAGGGAAAAGGAGCAAUCCGCUUUGAGAUGGCCUCGCGUCCGAUUAGCUAGUUGGUGAGGUAACGGCCCACCAAGGCGACGAUCGGUAGCCGGACUGAGAGGUUGAACGGCCACAUUGGGACUGAGAUACGGCCCAG